GCCGGCUGCUUCGGAGACGGGGGGUCCUCCCUUUGUGGGGGCUGGUUCACAGGUGGUGCAUGGUUGUCGUCAGCUCGUGUCGUGAGAUGUUGGGU
rnacentral:rRNA from 1 species